CCCUGAAGCCUGAACUUGGCAUUCCCCCGCAAGCCGGGAAGGAGGCAGGAUGGAAGAGUUCUCUGCAGCAGACUCUCUGCCCAGACCAUCCAACACAGCUUUUGCAAGGCCUGGGCAGAAACAGUAUCCAUUCCCAUGCCAUGUUUUCUAAGCCUGCAAGUCAGUCAGCAGCACCUAUUGUUUCCAUGCUUGAGAAGUCUGAAAUCCAUUUCGUGUUUACGUCCUAGAGAGAGCAGCAUUUCUAGAUGCCAAGGAACAUGGACUCUCAGGGUCAUUUCUCUUGCCCAAACAUCGUAACUUCAUUUCACUGGAAGAUUGCCAACACAUUGGAAUAACUUGUAAGAGCAUAUAUGAUGUUCAAUCAAAAUAAGAAAGAUGGAGUUCUUUGCAGAUGGAGUUCUUUUCCCUUUCUAAAUAAAGACAUGGACCUAGGCCCAGCAGCCAUUCUAGAGACCACACUGUUAUCAGCCUUGCUAGCUGUGAAUCCUGGAAGCAGCUUUUCAAAAAUACUUUUGCUGGAGUUGUUAUGCAUCUUUCGUUUCUGCUCUCUAAACUCUCUGUGCCAGUUUUUAAAGAAGUUUAAAUAUGCUGCUAAAGAGAUCAACUGCUUAACAUGUCUCCAGAUCACAUUAACUAAUGGAGAGUUUUACUAACUGAGAACCUUUCAUCAAGUUCAUCAUGAUUUACCAUGGGGAAAUGUAGAGCUACCACUGCCUUUCUAGUCCCUUUCAUUUAUGACAUUCCUGCCAAGUAAAAUCUGAGUGCUUGAAUCAUGACUUAUAAAAGGAAAUGACCAAUUAUUAAGCCAGAUCUUCAGCCCCACUGCGUUAUAGUACUC